rnacentral:rRNA from 1 species
GACGAACGCUGGCGGCGUGCUUAACACAUGCAAGUCGAACGGAAAGGCCCUGCUUUUGUGGGUACUCGAGUGGCGAACGGGUGAGUAACACGUGAGUAACCUGCCCUUGACUUUGGGAUAACUUCAGGAAACUGGGGCUAAUACCGGAUAGGAGCUCCUGCUGCAUGGUGGGGGUUGGAAAGUUUCGGCGGUUGGGGAUGGACUCGCGGCUUAUCAGCUUGUUGGUGGGGUAGUGGCUUACCAAGGCUUUGACGGGUAGCCGGCCUGAGAGGGUGACCGGCCACAUUGGGACUGAGAUACGGCCCAGACUCCUACGGGAGGCAGCAGUGGGGAAUAUUGCACAAUGGGCGGAAGCCUGAUGCAGCAACGCCGCGUGCGGGAUGACGGCCUUCGGGUUGUAAACCGCUUUCGCCUGUGACGAAGCGUGAGUGACGGUAAUGGGUAAAGAAGCACCGGCUAACUACGUG